UGUGCACAUUGUUAGAGCUUGGAGUUGAGGCUGCUGACUGGCCUAUGGACUCUCAAGUGUAGGUAGUGUGCUACACGAGGGGCAAGGUUUUCGCUAACACUCCAUUCCAGCCCCGUGGGUGGAGCUUGAUAGUAGUCCUUGCUACAGAU
ensembl:snoRNA SNORA62 Small nucleolar RNA SNORA62/SNORA6 family